GGAAGUAAAGUCGUAACAAGGUUUCCGUAGGUGAACCUGCGGAAGGAUCAUUAAAGUUAUAGUCCCCCGGCCCCUCCGGGCUGGGGUCUUCUAUACCACCCUUUGUUUAUUACACCUUUGUUGCUUUGGCAGGCCUGCCCUCGGGCUGCUGGCUCCGACCGGCCCGUGCCUGCCAGAGGACCUAAACUCUGUUUGUAUAUGAAGUCUGAGUACUAUAUAAUAGUUAAAACUUUCAACAACGGAUCUCUUGGUUCUG
rnacentral:misc_RNA from 1 species